CUUUUGCCCUUGUAUCCAUAAGCUUGAUGCUUUGGGCCAUCUCGCACAGGAGUAGGACUUUGAGUGACCUUUGCCUUGGAGUAUAUAACAUCUAUUUGCCAUUGAGAGCAUCCUUGGGGAGCAAGAAGGCAUGCUACAUCACCCACUUUAACAGCAGCUUCUGGCCAGUGCUAAGAAGUGAACCCAGAGCCUCAUAAUACAGGUAAGCACUCUUCCAUGGAGCUAUGUCCCACCUAUCUCCCUAUAUUCACAU